CGGGGUUAGUGCAUUAAGGGGAUGUUACGCAUAUGAGGGCCCUUCGCGGGAACUUUAAUAACUUUUGAACCAUGAUGAAUGGGGGGAAGCCACUUCACCCCAAUAAAAUAUGGGUCAUUUUGCAGCUAAAACACUAUCAAACUCAUCAUUUGGACUAUUUUUGACCUUGAAAGUGGCCACCUAUUACACCAGUCAUGUGUGAACAUGUAGUUAGUUUAGGGCUUCCACCAGUG
rnacentral:misc_RNA from 1 species